rnacentral:rRNA from 1 species
CUACGUGCCAGCAGCCGCGGUAAUACGGAAGGUCCAGGCGUUAUCCGGAUUUAUUGGGUUUAAAGGGAGCGUAGGCUGGAGAUUAAGCGUGUUGUGAAAUGUAGACGCUCAACGUCUGAAUUGCAGCGCGAACUGGUUCACUUGAGUAUGCACAACGUAGGCGGAAUUCGUCGUGUAGCGGUGAAAUGCUUAGAUAUGACGAAGAACUCCGAUUGCGAAGGCAGCUGACGGGAGCGCAACUGACGCUUAAGCUCGAAGGUGCGGGUAUCGAACAGGAUUAGAUACCCUGGUAGUCCGCACAGUAAACGAUGGAUGCCCGCUGUUGAUACCUAGUAUCAGCGGCUAAGCGAAAGCAUUAAGCAUCCCACCUGGGGAGUACGCCGGCAACGGUGAAACUCAAAGGAAUUGACGGGGGCCCGCACAAGCGGAGGAACAUGUGGUUUAAUUCGAUGAUACGCGAGGAACCUUACCCGGGCU